rnacentral:tRNA from 1 species
GCCCGGAUAGCCCAGUGGGGGGGGCCGGGUAUUGAAAAUCCCCUUGUCUUUGGUUCGAUUCCGAGUCCGGGCACCA